AUGAAAAAAUGUACAGGGAGAAAAGAGGAGGAGGAAAAGUUUCUCAUAACUGAUUAUUUUAUCACCUACCUAGAAAAAUCUGCGUUUUGGUAUAAGUUUGUUCUUUUUAUGAUGGUUCUCAUCAGGCAAUAUAAUCUAUUUUUCUUUUCUCUUGGUCCCUUUCCAUUAUGCAAAAAGAUGGAAGAGGGUGGGAUCCAGAAAGAGGAUGAUGUAGAAUGAUGCCACCCCCUCCACUGCCUUUGUAAACUCAGAGGCGUACCUGGUAACAUUAUAUGAUGUGUCAGUACGGAAACAAGCUCUUUUCUAAUAUUUCUGGUGAUAGCUUUUAGUUACAUUUUUCCUUCCUUAGUGCAUGAACAAAUCUAGCAUUUAAAAAACAACCUGAGAUUGACUGUAUGCAAAGGAAUAAAUAUGUAGAUAAGUAAGUGAGAGUAUCUGAUUAAUAGAUUAUUUGAAUUUUAGGUCAUAUAAAGGAUGUAGGAGGACAUGGCAGGAAGGAUGGGAGGAGGAAAAGAGGAUUUAGACUCUGUCCACAACCUGAUAAAUCUAUCUCAGUAAAAGUGAGGGGAUUCAUUUUCAGUGGGAGUACAAUUAGUAUAGACCAUAGUUUUGGCUUUCACCUGGACAUUCCUGACUCACUUUGAAUAAUUUGGGAUUGAAACCUAGAAAAGAUAACAGCAUAGCAUGGAUGCUUAGUGUCUCCUGAUGAUGCAGCAAUCAAAAUCAGCACCCAAACUCAAAACUUUCAGAAGAAGCUAAUAUCUGUUCUGGGCCAGCAACAAGAUGUGUGCCAAAGGGAUGUGUAUAGGCAUAGGAGUAUCUGAGAAGAUGCAUCAGUCUCAGCUUGUGGUGGCUUUCAAAUGAAACCAAACUGAUCUCAAUUAACCAGGGUAAUAUUCUUUUGUAAAAAAUAAAACCUUACUACUAUCAACAAAAGCAUAUGAAAAAUCAGUGGGUUUAGUAGAAGGCAGCAGGGAAAGAAAAAAGGUGAGAAAUAUGAGUUUGCAUUUCUCCAUUCUUUAUGGUAUGAAGGAAAAACUGCCACAAGGGAUGAUAGUUUGCUAUUUUUCAUUGCAAAAACAAACACAUAUUUUAAGCAUCUGUAACUGAUCAAAAUUGCACUCAUCUCACAAGCUAGUAAAGUAAUGCUCAAAAUUCUCC
rnacentral:lncRNA from 1 species